CCUCCUUUCAAGGCAAGGAAGGGCUGUGCAUUGAGGGUUCCAUGCUGAUGAGGCUCCUCCGGUGUUUCCUUGAUGCGAAAUCCUUCGGGCUCACCCUGAGACUGUGGGAUGUGCUCAUCUUGGAGGGCAAUCGAUUACUGACAGCCAUGGCCCAUGCAUCAUUCAAAAUACACAGGAAGCGCCUUAUGAAGCUUUCCUGGAGCACCAUCUGGGAGUUUCAGGAGCGACUGUCUCAGAGCUGGGCCCUGGAGGACAACACAGUCCUCAGGAAUCUUCAAGCCUCUAUGAAGGAACUCACAAAAAAACACUGGGACCUGCCACCCCCAGCCAAGCUGGAGCAAUGGUCCUCAAGGGUGUCCCCUGGCAUUGAGCCCCCCCAUGAGGGGGACAGACUGGCCGUCCCCACCCCACCAGCUCAGCUCCAGGAGCUCAUGCCAUCAGUCCCCCUGGGACAAAAGCCUUGUCCUCUGCCAGCCUGGCCUAAUGGGGCUGUCCCCAAGGCCCAGGCUGAGGUCCAUCAGCACGAAGGGGCUUCUCAAGAACCCAGAACAGAAGACUGCUGUCUGAGGGGCCCGGAGUCUCGAGAUGACGGCAGCCUGUCCCCGGGUGAGGUCAGGCUUUGUAUUACACGGAAACACUUGUCCAGGAACGCUAGGCCACAGCUCCACACACACCCGCAUGUCGGGGGUCCAUGUUUCCUGUGCUGCCAUUUUGAACACAGCUCCUGGGACUCUGAGGGGGCUUCCCCAGAACCCAGGGCAGAAGACUGCUGUCCAACAGGCCCAGAGGCUCGAGAUGAGGGUAGGAUGUCCCCUGGUGAGGUCAGGCUUCGUAUUACACGGAAACAUUUGUCCAGGAACUCUACACCACAGCUCCACACAGACCUGCAUGUCAGGGGCCCAGGGGCUUCUCAAGAACCCAGGGCAGCAGGCUGUUCUCAGGGGCGCCCAGAGGUUCAAGAUGACGGCAGCCUGUCCCCCGGUGAGGUCAGGCUUUGUAUUACACGGAAACACUUGUCCAGGAACUCUACACCACAGCUCCACACAGACCCGCAUGUCGGGGGUCCAUGUUUCCUGUGCUGCCAUUUUGAACACGGCUCCUGGGACUCUGUCACUUCUCCAUCUUCUGUGGACAGCAGCCCUGGAACAACAAGACGCACCCCGCCCAGCGAGCCCACUGGGACCGCGACACCAGGCCCUGCCUGGGUUUAUGACAGGGAGGAGGCACUUCGAGAGAUACCCCUGCAACAAGGUGUCCUCUGCCCGCUACUCCCCUCAGCAGAAGAACAACAUGGCAUGGAGGGAGCCCAGGCAGCACCUGCCCGGCUGCCUCGCAGCCCCAGAUGGCUGCUGGACCUUGAUUUUUACUGUUAUUUUUUUUUUAUUUUAUAUUUUUGUCUUCUUGGCCUUGGGAAAUACUUAGCGGGGGACUUGGUCCCCUCACGGCCUCAGGAGGGAAGGCUGAGCAUGAGGUUCCCACAGCCCCAGCCAGGCAGCAGCGUGCCCUGGGGCCCCUGACCCCACCUGUGGG
rnacentral:lncRNA from 1 species